UUAGCUGGUCCUACAUUGCUAAGUUUUUUUUUUUCUAUGCCAGGGGGUCUUGGCACAGGUCCUGGACCAGCAGCAUCAGCAUCCCUUGGGAAUGUCUUCAAAAUACAGAUGUGGGGGACCCACCCUGGCCUUCUAAAUCAGAAACUCUGGGUAGCUAGCCCAGCAGUGUCUGUUUAAACAAGCCGACUUUGAUGCACACUAGGAUCUGGGACCCACUGAUCUUGCCACGGAUUGAAAGAAGAAAAUCAUUUUUUCACAUUAGAUUUUUUUCCACAGUCUCUACUAUAAAAGAGAUAAGAGCACAGAAGCUUUGCCAAAUUAGGAAGCUUAGAUAACAUCACACUGAAAGCACCUGACCAAGCUAUUACUGUUCUUGGUCUUCUGACUCUAAAUACCCUGUUUGAACUACUGCUGUCUUACUAUCGCCUGUGUAAACUGAGAUGAGAGGUGAAAGAUGAGAUGCAGCAAAAGAAACUGUAUCUGGAGGGUUCUUUUGAAAGCUGAGAAAUGGCUUCUGGUCUGGGUUUAUGUAAUGCAGUUGCAUUAAAUGCAUGGGGAUGAUUCGUGGUCUACCUGUUAAUGGUCGAGAAUAUCAGGGGAUUCACAAUGAGAAGAAAAUUAAGCAGAAAUAUUGCAUUACAGUGCCUCAUUCCAAAUGGGUUUCUGGAAAACGAUUUGUAGCAAGCAAAUGGAACCGGGGAGAUAAGCCCCUAACUGCAGCAUAUAGCAGGAGCAGUUGUGCUCAUUUAGGCAUGUGGCAGGAUGGUUACACCUGCAGGCUUCCCAGCAGGUUGUGGGGAAUGCGACACCCUGCAUUACCAGCUUGAGAUUGCACAUUUGAAUUUGCUCCAUUAAAAAGUGAAUCCCUGUCACUUUUCAAACCUUAGAAGCUUCACAGUUCCUUUACAACAGCAUGUUUGAAGCUCAAAAAACAUUCAAAGAACUGCUGCAAAUCAGGAAGUGCGCUUUAAAGUUUUAAUCUGUAGUUUGCAAAGGUUUGUUUGAAACAGUGAGAGUGAAGGUGAUUUCCCAGCAUCACGUCUAUGGAGUCAGUGCAGUAUAGCGUAUUUCGGCAAAAGUGAAGUCAGCAUGGUACCUGUUUUCCAGACAAUAUAAUAUGCUUUCAAAGUGAUUAAAAAAAAAAAACCCAUUGAAUCCAAAUGGUCAAAAGGAAAGGAGAGAAUGAAAGAUCUGAGUUGUGGAAACAGUGGGAGGCUGUAAGGUGGUGAGUGCUUCUUUAAAAAGGCUGCUGUUAAAAGUUUCUAUAGUGGGUGAAAUGUGAGGCCAAAACAAAGUAGAACCAGAUCCUCCUAUUAAGUCAAGUACAGGGAA